rnacentral:rRNA from 1 species
AUUGAACGCUGGCGGCAGGCCUAACACAUGCAAGUCGAACGAGUGGCGGACGGGUGAGUAAUGUCUGGGAACCUGCCUGAUGGAGGGGGAUAACUACUGGAAACGGUAGCUAAUCCCGCAUACCAUCGGAUGUUCCCAGAUGGGAUUAGCUAGUAGGUGGGGUAAAGGCUCACCUAGGCGACGAUCCCUAGCUGGGCUGCGAGGAGGACCAGCCACACUGGAACUGAGACACGGUCCAGACGCCUACGUGAGGCAGCAGUGGGGAAUAUUGCACAAUGGGCGCAAGCCUGAUGCAGCCAUGCCGCGUGUAUGAAGAAGGCCUUCGGGUUGUAAAGUACUUUCAGCGGGGAGGCGUUACCCGCAGAAGAAGCACCGGCUAACUCCGUGCCAGCAGCCGCGGUAAUUC